rnacentral:rRNA from 1 species
CCUACGGGUGGCAGCAGUGGGGAAUAUUGGGCAAUGGAGGCAACUCUGACCCAGCAACGCCGCGUGAAUGAUGAAGGUCUUCGGAUCGUAAAACCCUGUUGUUAGAGAAGAAAGUGCGUGAGAGUACCUGAAGAAAAAGCAUCGGCUAACUCCGUGCCAGCAGCCGCGGUAAUACGGAGGAUGCGAGCGUUAUCCGGAUUUAUUGGGUUUAAAGGGUGCGUAGGCGGAAUGCCAAGUCAGCGGUAAAAUCGCGGGGCUCAACCUCGCUCCGCCGUUGAAACUGGCGUUCUUGAGUGGGCGAGAAGUAUGCGGAAUGCGUGGUGUAGCGGUGAAAUGCAUAGAUAUCACGCAGAACUCCGAUUGCGAAGGCAGCAUACCGGCGCCCAACUGACGCUCAUGCACGAAAGCGUGGGUAUCGAACAGGAUUAGAUACCCGGGUAGUC